UACGUAGGGUGCAAGCGUUAAUCGGAAUUACUGGGCGUAAAGCGUGCGCAGGCGGUUGUGCAAGACAGAUGUGAAAUCCCCGGGCUCAACCUGGGAACUGCAUUUGUGACUGCACGGCUGGAGUGCGGCAGAGGGGGAUGGAAUUCCGCGUGUAGCAGUGAAAUGCGUAGAUAUCGAGAGGAACACCAGUGGCGAAGGCGAGUCCCUGGACAACACCUGACACUGAGGCACGAAAGCUAGGGGAGCAAACAGG
rnacentral:rRNA from 1 species